CACGGCUACUCCUGUUCUCCAGCUGCAGCCCAGAAACCCUGGAAAAUGCUCACGUUUUUUAAGGUGACAUCGUAUUUUGCCGAUUUCCCAAAGUCUGUUAGAAAAGGUCUGAUUUCCUACAACUCUAACAGAGUUCUAGAUGUCAACAUGAGACACAGACAGCAGCGUUUCUCUACACGGAGCGCUGGUGCCGGGCUGACUCCUCCUAUUCAGACACGUGUGUUUGUUUACAACCUAUGGAGCACGAAAUGCAAAGAGGAGCAACGUCGACCGACAAGCUUUGUACAUAGACGAGUUGCAUCAAGUCCAGGCAAGGGACACGCAGAAAUUCUACCCCUGUCGUUGUCCAGCGUGACAGUCUGACCGUCAACGGUAUUUUUUCAUACACAUGCAUUUCCUGAAAAUUACUGCUGAGGAGCAGCAUGAGUCUCCAGAUGAGGAGGAGAUCAAUUAUUUGAGAAAAACAAUAGGUUCAGGA